CCUACGGGGGGCAGCAGUGGGGAAUAUUGGACAAUGGGGGAAACCCUUAUCCAGCGACGCCGCGUGAGGGAAGAAGGUUUUCGGAUUGUAAACCUCUGUCAGUGGGGACGAUAAUGACGGUACCCACGGAGGAAGCCACGGCUAACUACGUGCCAGCAGCCGCGGUAAUACGUAGGUGGCAAGCGUUGUCCGGAAUUACUGGGUGUAAAGGGAGCGUAGGCGGGAUGUCAAGUCAGAAGUGAAAAUUAUGGGCUCAACUCAUAACCUGCUUUUGAAACUGAUAUUCUUGAGUGAAGUAGAGGCAAGCGGAAUUCCUAGUGUAGCGGUGAAAUGCGUAGAUAUUAGGAGGAACACCAGUGGCGAAGGCGGCUUGCUGGGCUUUUACUGACGCUGAGGCUCG
rnacentral:rRNA from 1 species